rnacentral:rRNA from 1 species
GACGAACGCUGGCGGCGCGCUUAACACAUGCAAGUCGAACGGAAAGGCCUGCUUUCCCUUGUGGAUUGCGGGUACUCGAGUGGCGAACGGGUGAGUAACACGUGAGUGAUCUGCCCCCAACUUGGGUAUAAGCCUGGGAAACUGGGUCUAAUUCCCGAUAGGACUGCAGGGUGGUGCCUGUGGUGGAAAACGAUUUUCUAGUGGUUGGGGAUGAGCUCGCGGCCUAUCAGCUUGUUGGUGGGGUAAUGGCCUACCAAGGCGGCGACGGGUAGCCGGCCUGGGAGGGUGGACGGCCACAUUGGGACUGAGAUACGGCCCAGACUCCUACGGGAGGCAGCAGUGGGGAAUAUUGCACAAUGGGCGGAAGCAGGAUGCAGCGACGCCGCGUGGGGGAUGACGGCCUUCGGGUUGUAAACUCCUUUCGACCGCGAGGAAGCCACCUGGUUGGAAGGGUGGUGACGGUAGUGGUAGAAGAAGCACCGGCUAACUACGU